rnacentral:rRNA from 1 species
ACGCUCGACACCUACGGGAGACAGCAGUGGGGAAUAUUGCACAAUGGGGGAAACCCUGAUGCAGCGACGCCGCGUGAGUGAAGAAGUAUUUCGGUAUGUAAAGCUCUAUCAGCAGGGAAGAAGAUGACGGUACCUGAGUAAGAAGCCCCGGCUAACUACGUGCCCGCAGCCGCGGUAAUCUGAGCGGGCUGGCAAGGC